GAUGAACGCUAGCUACAGGCUUAACACAUGCAAGUCGAGGGGCAGCAUGGUCUUAGCUUGCUAAGGCCGAUGGCGACCGGCGCACGGGUGAGUAACGCGUAUCCAACCUGCCUUACACUCUUGGACAGCCUUCUGAAAGGGAGAUUAAUACAAGAUGUUAUCAUGAGUAAGCAUUUUCGCAUGAUUAAAGGUUUACCGGUGUAAGAUGGGGAUGCGUUCCAUUAGAUAGUAGGCGGGGUAACGCCCACCUAGUCUUCGAUGGAUAGGGGUUCUGAGAGGAAGGUCCCCCANAUUGGAACUGAGACACGGUCCAAACUCCUACGGGAGGCAGCAGUGAGGAAUAUUGGUCAAUGGACGCAAGUCUGAACCAGCCAUGCCGCGUGCAGGAUGACGGCUCUAUGAGUUGUAAACUGCUUUUGUACUAGGGUAAACUCACCUACGUGUAGGUGACUGAAAGUAUAGUACGAAUAAGGAUC
rnacentral:rRNA from 1 species